AAGAAUUUAGUUAAUUCAAUAACGUUAAUUUGUCAAAUUAAAAUUAUUUAAAAAUAAUUCUUU
rnacentral:tRNA from 1 species